GUGGGUGUAGUUCAGUGGCAGAGUGCAUACUUAGCAUGUAGGAAGUCCUGGGUUCAAUCCCCAGUACCUCCG
rnacentral:tRNA from 1 species